rnacentral:rRNA from 1 species
GUCGUAACAAGGUUUCCGUAGGUGAACCUGCGGAAGGAUCAUUAACCUUUCAAAUCAGGGUGCGGCGCGGCCCCCGAGGAGCGGAAACAAUCCUUGGGAGGUAUGCGGGGGCUUCGAGCCCCCCAUUUACGCACGCACGACUGCCAUCCUUACUUUACGAGCACCUUCUGUUCUCCCUCGGCGGGGCAACCUGCCGUUGGAACCGAAUAAACUCUUUUUGCAUCUAGCAUUACCUGUUCCGAAACAAACAAUCGUUACAACUUUCAACAAUGGAUCUCUUGGCUCUGGCAUCGAUGAAGAACGCAGCGAAAUGCGAUAAGUAGUGUGAAUUGCAGAAUUCAGUGAAUCAUCGAAUCUUUGAACGCACAUUGCGCCCCUCGGUAUUCCGUGGGGCAUGCCUGUUCGAGCGUCAUCUACACCCUCAAGCUCUGCUUGGUGUUGGGCGUCUGUCCCGCCUCCGCGCGUGGACUCGCCCCAAAUUCAUUGGCAGCGGUCCUUGCCUCCUCUCGCGCAGCACAUUGCGCUUCUCGAGGGGCUACGGCUCGCGUCCAACAAGCACAUUUACCGUCUUUGACCUCGGAUCAGGUAGGGAUACCCGCU